rnacentral:rRNA from 1 species
CCUACGGGAGGCAGCAGUGAGGAAUAUUGGUCAAUGGACGAGAGUCUGAACCAGCCAAGUAGCGUGAAGGAUGACUGCCCUAUGGGUUGUAAACUUCUUUUAUAUGGGAAUAAAAUGUUCCACGUGUGGGAUUUUGUAUGUACCAUAUGAAUAAGGAUCGGCUAACUCCGUGCCAGCAGCCGCGGUAAUACGGAGGAUCCGAGCGUUAUCCGGAUUUAUUGGGUUUAAAGGGAGCGUAGGUGGAUUGUUAAGUCAGUUGUGAAAGUUUGCGGCUCAACCGUAAAAUUGCAGUUGAAACUGGCAGUCUUGAGUACAGUAGAGGUGGGCGGAAUUCGUGGUGUAGCGGUGAAAUGCUUAGAUAUCACGAAGAACACCGAUUGCGAAGGCAGUUCACUGGACUGCAACUGACACUGAGGCUCGAAAGUGUGGGUAUCAAACAGGAUUAGAUACCCCUGUAGUC